rnacentral:sRNA from 1 species
GUUUGGCAUCAAUAUGGUGACCUCCCUGGACCAGGGGGACCACUGGGUUGCCUAAGGAGGGGUGAAUGGAUCUAGGUCAGAAACGGAGCAGAUCAAAACUCCCAUGCUGAUC